UGAAUGGUGUGAUGUUUCCUGGAAAU
rnacentral:piRNA from 1 species